GACGAACGCUGGCGGCGUGCUUAACACAUGCAAGUCGAACGGAAAGGCCCUGCGUUUGUGGGGUGCUCGUUUGGCGAACGGGUGAGUAACACGUGAGUAACCUGCCCUUGACUGUGGGAUAACUUCAGGAAACUGCGGCUAAUACCCGAUAGGAUCUCCUGCUGCAUGGGGGGGGUUGGAAAGAUUCGGUGGUGGGGGAUGGACUCGAGGGUUAUCAGCUGGAUGGUGGGGUUGUGGCUGACCAAGGUUUUGACGGGUAGCCGGCCUGGGAGGGUGACCGGCCACAUUGGGACUGCGAUACGGCCCAGACUCCUACGGUAGGCAGAAGUGGGGAAUAUUGCACAGUGGGCGGAAGCCUGAUGCAGCAACGCCGCGUGCGGGAUGACGGCCUUCGGGUUGUAAACCGCUUUCGACUGUGCCGAAGCGUGAGUGACGGUAAUGGGUAAAGAAGCACCGGCUAACUACGUG
rnacentral:rRNA from 1 species